rnacentral:rRNA from 1 species
GUGAGGAAUAUUGGACAAUGGGCGCAAGCCUGAUCCAGCCAUGCCGCGUGCAGGAAGACGCAUCUAUGGUGUGUAAACUGCUUUUGUACGGGAAGAAACACUCCCUCGUGAGGGAGCUUGACGGUACCGUAAGAAUAAGGAUCGGCUAACUCCGUGCCAGCAGCCGCGGUAAUACGGAGGAACCAAGCGUUAUCCGGAAUCAUUGGGUUUAAAGGGUCCGUAGGCGGUUUAAUAAGUCAGUGGUGAAAGCCCAUCGCUCAACGAUGGAACAGCCAUUGAUACUGUUAGACUUGAAUUACAAGGAAGUAACUAGAAUAUGUAGUGUAGCGGUGAAAUGCUUAGAUAUUACAUGGAAUACCAAUUGCGAAGGCAGGUUACUACUUGUGGAUUGACGCUGAUGGACGAAAGCGUGGGGAGCGAACAGGAUUAGAUACCCGUGUAGUCC